GGUUAAGCGACUAAGCGUACACGGUGGAUGCCCUGGCAGUCAGAGGCGAUGAAGGACGUGCUAAUCUGCGAUAAGCGUCGGUAAGGUGAUAUGAACCGUUAUAACCGGCGAUUUCCGAAUGGGGAAACCCAGUGUGUUUCGACACACUAUCAUUAACUGAAUCCAUAGGUUAAUGAGGCGAACCGGGGGAACUGAAACAUCUAAGUACCCCGAGGAAAAGAAAUCAACCGAGAUUCCCCCAGUAGCGGCGAGCGAACGGGGAGCAGCCCAGAGCCUGAAUCAGUGUGUGUGUUAGUGGAAGCGUCUGGAAAGGCGCGCGAUACAGGGUGACAGCCCCGUACACAAAAAUGCACAUAUUGUGAGCUCGAUGAGUAGGGCGGGACACGUGGUAUCCUGUCUGAAUAUGGGGGGACCAUCCUCCAAGGCUAAAUACUCCUGACUGACCGAUAGUGAACCAGUACCGUGAGGGAAAGGCGAAAAGAACCCCGGCGAGGGGAGUGAAAAAGAACCUGAAACCGUGUACGUACAAGCAGUGGGAGCACGCUUAGGCGUGUGACUGCGUACCUUUUGUAUAAUGGGUCAGCGACUUAUAUUCUGUAGCAAGGUUAACCGAAUAGGGGAGCCGAAGGGAAACCGAGUCUUAACUGGGCGUUAAGUUGCAGGGUAUAGACCCGAAACCCGGUGAUCUAGCCAUGGGCAGGUUGAAGGUUGGGUAACACUAACUGGAGGACCGAACCGACUAAUGUUGAAAAAUUAGCGGAUGACUUGUGGCUGGGGGUGAAAGGCCAAUCAAACCGGGAGAUAGCUGGUUCUCCCCGAAAGCUAUUUAGGUAGCGCCUCGUGAAUUCAUCUCCGGGGGUAGAGCACUGUUUCGGCAAGGGGGUCAUCCCGACUUACCAACCCGAUGCAAACUGCGAAUACCGGAGAAUGUUAUCACGGGAGACACACGGCGGGUGCUAACGUCCGUCGUGAAGAGGGAAACAACCCAGACCGCCAGCUAAGGUCCCAAAGUCAUGGUUAAGUGGGAAACGAUGUGGGAAGGCCCAGACAGCCAGGAUGUUGGCUUAGAAGCAGCCAUCAUUUAAAGAAAGCGUAAUAGCUCACUGGUCGAGUCGGCCUGCGCGGAAGAUGUAACGGGGCUAAACCAUGCACCGAAGCUGCGGCAGCGACGCUGAUGCGUUGUUGGGUAGGGGAGCGUUCUGUAAGCCUGUGAAGGUGCGCUGUGAGGCAUGCUGGAGGUAUCAGAAGUGCGAAUGCUGACAUAAGUAACGAUAAAGCGGGUGAAAAGCCCGCUCGCCGGAAGACCAAGGGUUCCUGUCCAACGUUAAUCGGGGCAGGGUGAGUCGACCCCUAAGGCGAGGCCGAAAGGCGUAGUCGAUGGGAAACAGGUUAAUA
rnacentral:rRNA from 1 species